AACGCACCUUGCGCUCCUUGGUAUUCCGAGGAGCAUGCCUGUUUGAGUGUCAUUAAAUUCUCAACCCCUUUGGUUUCGCAAGAAGUCGAAGUGGGCUUGGACAGUGGGUCUGCUGGUGACUUUUGGGUCGUCGGCUCUCCUUAAAUGCAUUGGCGGAGGCGAUGGCAUGAUAACGUCCUUCGGUGUGAUAAUGAUCGCCGUGGAUGGAAGUGUCCAGUUCACCUGCGCCUUUAACAGCCCUUUGGUGGCCACCCCUCGGGGUGAUAGCUUUUGAACCUUUUGACCUCAAAUCAGGUAGGACUACCCGCUGAACUUAA
rnacentral:misc_RNA from 1 species